rnacentral:misc_RNA from 1 species
GAUGAAGAACGCAGUGAAAUGCGAUAAGUAAUGUGAAUUGCAGAAUUCAGUGAAUCAUGGAAUCUUUGAACGCAGAUUGCGCCCGCCAGUAUUCUGGCGGGCAUGCCUGUUCGAGCGUCAUUUCAACCAUCAAGCCCCGGGCUUGUGUUGGGGACCUGCGGCUGCCGCAGGCCCUGAAAAGCAGUGGCGGGCUCGCUGUCACACCGAGCGUAGUAGCAUACAUCUCGCUCUGGGCGUGCUGCGGGUUCCGGCCGUUAAACCACCUUUUAACCCAAGGUUGACCUCGGAUCAGGUAGGAAGACCCGCUGAACUUAAGCAUAUCAAUAAGCGGAGGA